CCUACGGGUGGCUGCAGUGGGGAAUAUUGCACAAUGGGCGCAAGCCUGAUGCAGCCAUGCCGCGUGUGUGAAGAAGGCCUUCGGGUUGUAAAGCACUUUCAGCGGGGAGGAAGGCGUUAAGGUUAAUAACCUUGGCGAUUGACGUUACCCGCAGAAGAAGCACCGGCUAACUCCGUGCCAGCAGCCGCGGUAAUACGGAGGGUGCAAGCGUUAAUCGGAAUUACUGGGCGUAAAGCGCACGCAGGCGGUCUGUCAAGUCGGAUGUGAAAUCCCCGGGCUCAACCUGGGAACUGCAUUCGAAACUGGCAGGCUAGAGUCUUGUAGAGGGGGGUAGAAUUCCAGGUGUAGCGGUGAAAUGCGUAGAGAUCUGGAGGAAUACCGGUGGCGAAGGCGGCCCCCUGGACAAAGACUGACGCUCAGGUGCGAAAGCGUGGGGAGCAAACAGGAUUAGAUACCCGGUAGUC
rnacentral:rRNA from 1 species